UACGUAGGGUGCAAGCGUUAAUCGGAAUUACUGGGCGUAAAGCGUGCGCAGGCGGUUUUGUAAGUCUGUCGUGAAAGCCCCGGGCUCAACCUGGGAAUUGCGAUGGAGACUGCAAGGCUUGAAUCUGGCAGAGGGGGGUAGAAUUCCACGUGUAGCAGUGAAAUGCGUAGAGAUGUGGAGGAACACCGAUGGCGAAGGCAGCCCCCUGGGUCAAGAUUGACGCUCACGCACGAAAGCGUGGGGAGCAAACAGG
rnacentral:rRNA from 1 species